GGUGUGUUAAUGCCAAUGACGGGCCGAUGGCCAAUCGGAACACGCACAGCUGCAGCCGUCCCCAUGGCAAUAUCUGCCCUCAUGAACGAUUCCAGCCUUUUACCUGGAUACAACAUCUCGUUCAGGAUUGAAGAUAGCUCGUGUGAACCUGAGCAGGGCUUGCGAGGAAUUGUGGGAUUUCAAUCAGUUGAUGUCUUCAUUGGACCUGCGUGCUCCGUCGUCGCUGAACCAGUGGCUCUCCUCGCUAAGAUAUGGAAGAAACCCAUCAUAACAUACGCCGCUUCCUCCAAUAAAUUCAUCGACAAAAACAUUUACAGCACCCUCGCCACCAUUACAGCUUAUGCGAGACGAAGCGAGAGAUAUACACCGGCGUUUGUUUUUCAGAUUCUCAAGGCGUUCAAAUGGACAAUUUUUGCCAUUUUGAGUUCGUCUGAGGUCGAAUGGUAGACCAUGGCUGGUAAAAUACGAAGUGUGGUAGAAAGUCAUUCAAUAAAGGUUUCGUUGUUCGAAACCUAUGACAAUAAGAAUCCAGAGUUUGAAACACUUUUGACGAAAGGGAAAAAUGUGACACGAGUUUUUCUUAUUCUAUGUUACAUAAACGAGGUCGUAUCCAUCAUGGAAACCGCUAAACGCUUAGGUAUGACGAAUGGGGAAUACGCCUUCAUAACGUUAGACCUGAAUACAGACGUAUUUUACAAAAACGGUCAGUGGACUGGAAACGAAGGAAAGGACUCAAGUUUUUCGAAUAUAUUGAACGGCAUUAUUGAUCUCAGUGUUUAUCGGCCUGAGCUAUCCAUGGAGUUCAAACAGAAAUAUAGGGACAUGGGA